UAGGGAAUCUUCCGCAAUGGACGAAAGUCUGACGGAGCAACGCCGCGUGAGUGAAGAAGGAUUUCGGUUCGUAAAACUCUGUUGGUAGGGAAGAAAAAAUGUAUAGUAACUAUAUACAAAAGAGACGGUACCUAACCAGAAAGCCACGGCUAACUACGUGCCAGCAGCCGCGGUAAUACGUAGGUGGCAAGCGUUGUCCGGAAUUAUUUGGCGUAAAGCGCGCGCAGGUGGUUUAGAAAGUCUGAUGUGAAAGCCCACGGCUCAACCGUGGAGGGUCAUUGGAAACUAAUAAACUUGAGUGCAGGAGAGAAACGUGGAAUUCCUAGUGUAGCGGUGAAAUGCGUAGAGAUUAGGAGGAACGCCGGUAGCGAAAGCGGCUUUUUGGCCUGCAACUGACACUGAGGCGCGAAAGCGUGGGGAGCAAACAGG
rnacentral:rRNA from 1 species